UCGUCAGCUCGUGUCGUGAGAUGUUGGGUUAAGUCCCGCAACGAGCGCAACCCUUGUCCCUAGUUGCUACGCAAGAGCACUCUAGGGAGACUGCCGGUGACAAACCGGAGGAAGGUGGGGAUGACGUCAAGUCCUCAUGGCCCUUAUGGGUAGGGCUUCACACGUCAUACAAUGGUCGGAACAGAGGAUCGCCAACCCGCGAGGGGGAGCCAAUCCCAGAAAACCGAUCGUAGUCCGGAUCGCACUCUGCAACUCGAGUGCGUGAAGCUGGAAUCGCUAGUAAUCGCGGAUCAGCAUGCCGCGGUGAAUACGUUCCCGGGUCUUGUACGCACCGCCCGUCACACCAUGGGAGUGGGUUUUACCAGAAGUGGCUAGUCUAACCGCAAGGAGGACGGUCACCACGGUAGGAUUCAUGACUGGGGUGAAGUCGUAACAAGGUAACCGUA
rnacentral:rRNA from 1 species